GAUGAAGAACGCAGCGAAAUGCGAUAAGUAAUGUGAAUUGCAGACUUCAGUGAAUCAUCGAAUCUUUGAACGCACAUUGCGCCCGCCAGUAUUCUGGCGGGCAUGCCUGUUCGAGCGUCAUUUCAACCAUCAAGCCCCAGGCUUGUGUUGGGGACCUGCGGCUGCCGCAGGCCCUGAAAACCAGUGGCGGGCUCGCUGUCACACCGGGCGUAGUAGAUUUUAUCUCGCUCAGGGCGUGCUGCGGGUUCCGGCCGUUAAAAAGCCUUUUUUACCCAAGGUUGACCUCGGAUCAGGUAGGAAGACCCGCUGAACUUAAGCAUAUCAAUAAGCGGAGGA
rnacentral:misc_RNA from 1 species